UGGAUACAACCAACUGACUUCAGGAAGAAACUGGUUUGGCGGAUUCUUCAUUACCACACUGAUGCUAAAGAAACCUAACUUGGUGCAUUGCAUGGCUUCUAGAUCUGUGCAUGGUUUUGUCAAAAUGCCUCAGCAGUUGCCUUCCUGGAGUAACCCACCUCCACCAGUACUUAACCUCAGGUCUGACAGUCCAGCUGGACUCUCCUUUUUGUGCAGUGGGAAACCCUCAGCAACAGAGAUUCCACAGACUAAAUGCUCCCCUCAACAGUGCCUGGCCCAAGGCCAGGCCAGUGGGUUUGCACAGCUGGAGCAGAUCGAAGUUUAGGGUAUCAUUCACAACUAUGUUUAGGAGGCAGAAGAGAAUCUGGCUCCUGGUGUCUCAGCUGUGUUUUUUUUUUGUUUUUUGUUUGGUUGGGUUUUUUGUUUUUUGUUUUUGUUUUUAAGGACCAACAGGAAUAAAAGGUGAUGACAAGUCAACCUUUUCUAAUCUAAACAUUGCUGGUAGGACUCUGCACUCAGCGAAGGAACAGGUCUCUUCAAAAGAGUACCACUUUUACACAGCUACUAGAAGUAAAAGAAUCCCACAACAGCUAUUUUCUAACCUUUGUAAAGAGCAAUCAGUAUGGAAAGGUCAAUUGCUUCAAUCAAUACACAAGUGGCUGUGAGCUGGACCGUGACUGAAAGAAAAUGCACAGGUGAGGAGGAGCCCAGUACUAGAGAUCUAUGAUGGAGACUUUUAUUGGCAGAAAUGACACUGCCAUCAGAUCAUUCUGUCAUGCAAGAGGGAAGUGAGCCUUUUCUGCAUUGCAUGCCAACAGGAGGGCAGUGGUGCCCAGUCACCCUGCCUGAACUCAAGAGGAGACAACAGGGGUGAGAAGAGUUUGCUGAGCAACAAACACGGCUCUCAUUGCUUCACAGAAAUUCUGAAGUGCAAGUUAAUGUUUGUGGGGACUUUCAGCUUACCCACAGUGGGUUGACAGCACAGCUGCAGGGAACUUUUGUUAUUAAAUAUGGAACUGGGAAAGAUUCCUGGGGCAUCAGAUCUUAUACAAACUCAUUUCAGAUUUAUGGAAAGUUUGUUGGAGGUUUGCAAGCUUUCUGGACAAAGGAAAGCCACUGUGACAUGCUUUACCCCCACACUCCUAGUCCUCAUGUCCCCAAAUGACAAAAAUGCAAUGUAGCUGCUAUUUUAACAACACUAGGUGGUUCUGGAUACAUACCACUAUACAAGUUACAGAGGCUGCACAUAUUAUAGAGGCUGCAUUACAAUUUUUCAGACUGUAGCCCAUGGAGCAGGAUCAAACAGAAGAGCUGCUGCUAGUCCUGUGCAUCCAGAUGCGUCAUAGAGGUAACCUCAGAUUGAAAUUUGGGGUUUGGUCAUAUUCCCAUCCCAACUCCCUGCUUUCAGCCUAUCUUUAUAGGCUCCAAACCAGGAUCCCAGGUCCAAACCCUGGCUAAACUUAGGCAAAGUCCACGGCCAAACUUUGAUUCAAGUUGGAACCUGAACUUUACUUUUCUGGCUCAACUUUACCUGGAUUGACCCAAGGCAGAAGCAGAGUUUUGAAUGCACUAGGAUCCCAUCUAGCCUGUGGUAUGGAAACCAGGUGAAACUUAUCCAUGUUAUUCAUUCAGUGUGGAAACUUCGAACAGCCCUCAGAGGUUGUAAACCACAUGAAUCAA